rnacentral:rRNA from 1 species
GAUGAACGCUAGCGGGAGGCCUAACACAUGCAAGCCGAGCGGUAUUGUUUCUUCGGAAAUGAGAGAGCGGCGUACGGGUGCGUAACACGUGUGCAACCUGCCUUUAUCUGGGGGAUAGCCUUUCGAAAGGAAGAUUAAUACUCCAUAAUAUAUUGAACGGCAUCGUUUAAUAUUGAAAGCUCCGGCGGAUAGAGAUGGGCACGCGCAAGAUUAGCUAGUUGGUGAGGUAACGGCUCACCAAGGCGAUGAUCUUUAGGGGGCCUGAGAGGGUGAUCCCCCACACGGGUACUGAGACACGGACCAGACUCCUACGGGAGGCAGCAGUGAGGAAUAUUGGUCAAUGGGUGCAAGCCUGAACCAGCCAUCCCGCGUGAAGGACGACUGCCCUAUGGGCUGUAAACUUCUUUUGUAUAGGGAUAAACCUACCCUCGAGAGGGUAGCUGAAGGUACUAUACGAAUAAGCACCGGCUAACUCCGUG